GCCUUCGUGGUGUAGUGGUCAGCACGCUCGACGUGUAACUGUCAGGUCCAUGGUUCGAUUCCCGGCGAGGGCA
rnacentral:tRNA from 1 species